UGUGUCAUCGGAUCGGACUCCAAUUGCCAUGUAAUUUUCGACUCCUACUGGUUUCGCAACGCCGCCUUAAUUAGUGAAUAAGCGAUGUAUUUAUCGCAUCCAAAGGUCUCGUAAAUAAACAACGUUCAACAAAUUGGGAUUCAUUUGGCAACCGAUUUUUAUCGGCGUCGCCGCCGUCGUCGAGGAGGAUGGCCGAGGCACCAAUGGGCGUCGUGGCAGACGUUCCACCCCGUCCACCCGAUGGAGGACCUCAUCCCCGGCGACGUGCGCCUCCCGCGCGACGGCGAGCCAUCCGGCGUCAUCUACGAGGAAGAGGAAGAGAUGGAUGUGGAUGAAGCCUUCGACUACGAGGAGGGCGAAUUCCCCUGCACCGAUCUUCUCGACGAUUCGGGGGACUCCGAGGACGGCGGCGGGAACGGGUGGGUGGCGGGUUCGCCCGCGCCGCCGCCGACCCCUGCUACGCCGCCGGCGACACGCCAUGCGCGAUGGUUACCUCUUUCAGCUUCUGCUUCCACCCAUAGCCGUCAUGGUCGAGCCCAUCAUACAUCUUCCAUGGGAGAUUAAUCUCCACUAGAAUUGAUCACGCAUGUCUCCUUAACAAAUCUGCAUCAUGGCAGAUUGGCAGCAGCCCAGCAUAGAACUGAUUAAUCUUUUUUAAAUAUUUUUUAGGAAAAACAACUUAGGACUUAGGAGUAAUGUGCAACCUGCUACAUGUUUACAGUGGAUCAGACAAUAGUGACCUUUGAAUUUAUUUCGGUUUUCAAAGUUUACAGUGGAUCAGUCAAUAGUAACCUGGAAAAUAUAUGGUUUGGUCUGAAUUUGCCUGUUCUUCCCUGCGUCUAUUUCCUAGAUGUUGUUCAAUGUUCGGUACUUCAAUUGCUUUCCAUGAGUAUGUGAUGUAUGACCUUUGAGUGAUCAAUGCAUGACUGUAUUGGUGCUGGGAAAAAAUUAACAGAGUAAGAUUAUGAACACAGAUCAAUGUAUGACUUCAUUA